rnacentral:rRNA from 1 species
CCUACGGGUGGCAGCAGUGAGGAAUAUUGGUCAAUGGGCGAGAGCCUGAACCAGCCAAGUCGCGUGAAGGAUGAAGGCUCUAUGGUUUGUAAACUUCUUUUCUCAGGGACGAAGCAAGUGACGGUACCUGAGGAAUAAGCCACGGCUAACUAAGUGCCAGCAUCCGCGGUAAUACGUAGGUGGCAAGCGUUAUCCGGAUUUACUGGGUGUAAAGGGCGUGGAGGCGGGACUGCAAGUCAGAUGUGAAAACCACGGGCUCAACCUGUGGACUGCAGUUGAAACUGUAGUGCUUGAGUACUGGAGAGGCAGACGGAAUUCAUAGUGUAGCGGGGAAAUGCGUAGAUAUUAGGAGGAACACCAGUGGCGAAGGCGGUCUGCUGGACAGCAACUGACGCUGAGGCGCGAAAGCGUGGGGAGCAAACAGGAUUAGAUACCCUUGUAGUC